CUCCCUGCCCGUCGCGCGACCCGACGCGCUUGCUCCUUUGACCGUCCGCGGCGGACCGGGUGACGUCCCCCGUCGGGCACCCUCCCUCUCUCGUUGGGACUCCCUCCGGGACCCCCGGGGCUCCUACCCGACACUACCUCUACUUUUACCUCUCCCUGGAUGACCGUACCUGACACACGACCGGUUUCGGCUGUCGCUACUCCGACUGGUGCCCGCGGCGCCUUACCUACGUNUGGUGACGGUACCCGU
rnacentral:rRNA from 1 species